rnacentral:tRNA from 1 species
UAGAUAUUAGUAAAAUUAUUACAUAACUUUGUCAAAGUUGUAUUACUGGUUAAACCCCUGUAUAUCUUU